rnacentral:rRNA from 1 species
UACGUAGGGUGCGAGCGUUGUCCGGAAUUAUUGGGCGUAAAGAGCUCGUAGGCGGUGUGUCGCGUCGGCCGUGAAAACCUGGGGCUUAACUCUGGGCGUGCGGUCGAUACGGGCAUCACUAGAGUUCGGCAGGGGAGACUGGAAUUCCUGGUGUAGCGGUGAAAUGCGCAGAUAUCAGGAGGAACACCGGUGGCGAAGGCGGGUCUCUGGGCCGAUACUGACGCUGAGGAGCGAAAGCAUGGGGAGCGAACGGG